AGCGUUGCAAAAUGGUGGCGCUUCCUUCCUUAUCCCCACCGCCACCGCGUCCUUCCCCGUCUCCGGCCACACCUCGCCGCCGGCCACCUCCGCCGCCGCCGCCUCAUGCUACCCCUUCACACCGCGUCCGGAGCCGGCCUGCCACCGUCGUGUCCGCCGCCUCCGGUGUCACCGACGGCUACCACUCCACCAUCCGCUCCCUCAACUCCCGCGGCCGCCACGUCCCCCGCAAAUCCCUCGGCCAGAACUACAUGCUGAACUCGAAGGUGAACGAGGAGCUGGUGGCGGCGGCGGGGGUGGAGGAGGGGGACGUCGUGCUCGAGAUCGGCCCGGGGACUGGGUCUCUUACGGCCGCUCUCCUCGAUGCCGGCGCCACCGUCUUCGCCGUAGAGAAGGAUAAGCAUAUGGCCACCCUUGUGAAUGAUAGGUUUGGAUCCACAGAACAAUUGAAGAUCAUUGAAGAAGAUAUCACAAAAUUUAAUGUCCGCUCCCAUUUUCUUCCUUUCCUGGAGGAAAAAUCCCAUCACACGAGAAAAUAUGCCAAGGUGGUGUCAAAUUUACCAUUCAAUGUAAGUACUGAAGUUGUCAAACUUCUUCUCCCAAUGGGAGAUGUCUUUUCUGUCAUGGUGCUUUUGCUUCAGGAUGAAACGGCAUUGCGCUUUGCAGAUGCUUCAAUACAAACACCAGAGUACCGACCUAUCAAUGUGUUUGUGAAUUUCUACUCAGAACCAGAAUACAAGUUCAAAGUUGAGAGGACAAAUUUUUUCCCUCAACCGAAGGUUGAUGGUGCUGUUAUAAGCUUUAAGCUAAAGAAUUCAGGGGAUUAUCCACCAGUUGGUUCUCACAAAGGUUUCUUUUCAAUGGUGAACUCUGCUUUCAAUGGGAAGCGCAAGAUGCUUCGUAAAUCACUCCAGCACCUGUGUUCUUCCUCUGAGAUUGAGGCUGCUCUGGCCAACAUUGGUCUUCCAGUUACAGCUAGACCUUCUGAUCUGUUGUUGGAUGAUUUUGUGAGGUUGCACAAUCAUUUGACAAAAGCAUGAAUAUUUGGUGCCUUCCUAAUGCUCAUGGAACUAUCUGUUGGUUUGCCGGCUGCCCUCUAAGCAUAUCGCCUAAGAAAUUUUGUCCCCAUAGUAUCACUACCGACUGCAGGUUCUGUUAGCUGACACUGCCAGUGCUCGCCCGAUUUUCUCCAGUCGUUGCACGGCCUUCAGGCUUCAGUUGCAACAAUAGUGGUGAUGGUACCUGUCUGAAUUUUGAAGUGCCCUUGCAUGGAUGACCUUGAUGUUUGUGUUCCAAGUUCCAACUUCGAAGCAGUAGCAGACUAGCAGACCUGCAUGCCACGAUUUGCUAGCAUUCAUUUGCAUGAGAGUUGCAGGCCUAUCUCUAUCUGAUAUAUGGCAUUUCAUCGUUGGACAAAUGAAAACUGUGUCAUGUACAAAAUUUUGGAAAGGCGAUGUGUGCAUAAUUUCCGGAUAUCCUCUUCUGACAUCUUCACAAACUGGAGUAGGCAAUCUGGGCAAUGCAAAUUGCAAAAACCAGAGAUGUUGGAAGGAACGGUGCGAAGACCAAAGAAUUCAGCUAUUUAUAAUAAACCAGAGAUGUAGGUAGAGGCAUCCAUGCUGUAUUAUACAGAUUUUGGGCUUGAACUUUGUUCAUAAACUGUAGUGAAGUCUGGAAAAUGUAAAUUCUACUCGUCAUGCUUGAUGCCCUUAGACAUGUACGUACUUGUCAACCGUGGCACGGUGGUAAGACAUUAAGACAGUUUAUAUUUAGUUCAUUUCCUGGUAAACA